rnacentral:rRNA from 1 species
GAUGAACGCUGGCGGCGUGCCUAAUACAUGCAAGUCGAGCGAACCACUUCGGUGGUGAGCGGCGAACGGGUGAGUAACACGUAGGUUAUCUGCCCAUCAGACGGGGACAACGAUUGGAAACGAUCGCUAAUACCGGAUAGGACGAAAGUUUAAAGGUGCUUCGGCACCACUGAUGGAUGAGCCUGCGGCGCAUUAGCUAGUUGGUAGGGUAAAGGCCUACCAAGGCGACGGUGCGUAGCCGACCUGAGAGGGUGAACGGCCACACUGGGACUGAGACACGGCCCAGACUCCUACGGGAGGCAGCAGUAGGGAAUCUUCGGCAAUGGGCGAAAGCCUGACCGAGCAACGCCGCGUGAAUGAUGAAGGCCUUCGGGUUGUAAAAUUCUGUUAUAAGGGAAGAAUGGCUUUAGUAGGAAAUGGCUAGAGUGUGACGGUACCUUAUGAGAAAGCCACGGCUAACUACGUGCCAGCAGCCGCCGUAAAAC